rnacentral:misc_RNA from 1 species
AUUUUUUGAGUUUGAUAAAGGUGCUAGAACUAGAGGUCACUCCUUCAAGAUUAAACAUCAGCACUGUAAGACACUUAUUAGAAGUCGUGCUUUUUCAUUUAGGUCAGUUCGGCUGUGGAAUUCCUUAUCGAAUGAAGAUGUUAACUCUAGUUCUAUUAAUUUAUUUAAAUCUGCGAUCGAAGUACGUUUGGCUGACCAUCCGCUCAAAUUUGCUAAAUAUAUAUGUUAAAUUUUAAUAUACUGUUUUUUUCGAGGGGCCUAUAAGAUCGUUUUGCUUGGCCUCUAUACCCAGGAGGAUCAGACUGUAGAAGACUAUCUUGGGAUACAAGUAAACAAGUAAUAGAACAUUGCUUUAUUAGCCCGUCUAUUAGAUUUGUUUUAUUAUAGAUCGGAGGCCUCUGAAGCUUUCGGCGGCCCAGGUUCAAUGAACCUGUGGACAAGUGGUAGCACCACUGGCAAUAGUCUCUGGCAAGACGAACCUAUUUAAACGUGCGCGCUCAACUUUUUAGAAGUGGGAGGAGCUCACUUCUCGAGCAUCAAAUCAUGGAGGAUAGAGGAUAUCCUAACAACAAGCAGUCAUGAAUAUAUUGCGUGUAAGAACGUUGGAAUUUACACGAUCGCAAGACAUAAUUUCCAUUUCUUUUGUUCACAUAAACACAAUAGGGCCAAUACUUUAAUACAUAUGCAUGGAGGUAUAGGUUUCAUCUAUGGUUAUACGUUUGUUUAAACGUUGACUGACACUGGACAUGCGCAGCUCAAGCUACAAAAGACUAUUAUAAUGACCCAGAGAAGGUAGAUGGUUUCAUCUGUUGUCCUUUCGUUUAUGAUCAAUUAUUGUGGAAUAUUUGUGAACUAAUAAGAGAGGCUGUACUUGUGAUAAGAGUACUUGACUUAACGCUAACAUUUUGGUCAAGAAUGAAGUCACGUCAUCUUCUAAUGUGUCUUAUUUUUGCACUUACAUUAUCAGUAUGGUGGCAAUUUUACCAGUUGACGUUUAGUAGGAGUAGGCCUAAGUUUGUUAAUGUUAUGGAGGAAAGUGGUUCAUUUUUACAUCAAAUCAAAUCUAUACCGAAGCUUACAAACUUUACGAGAGACAACUAUUCAUCUGGAAUAGAACAAGAUAGGGAGUACUACGUAAAUGAAUCCAUUAUUGGCAUCUCAUCGAAAGUACAGAAUAUCCACGAAAUCGCUGCUUUGUUACAGAAACCGUGGAAACUAAACACCACAAAAGUGUCCCUGCUAAGAGAGGAUAUUGCGAGGUCAAUCCGUUCUGAGAUGAUUCUUACGAAAAAAUAUAUCCGACCAUUCCAAAAAAUUACAUACUCGUUAAGGAAGCAGACAGCAACAAUCAGUAAGAAAUUUCACAACACGUUGCCAGAGGUAUCUCCUAUUCAACGUUUGCAUAAAAGGUGUUCUAUUGUGGGAAAUGGAGGAAUAUUGAGUAAAAGUAAAUGUGGUAAUGCAAUUGACAGGGCCGAUUUUGUGAUUAGAUGCAAUGCUCCACCAAUUAACGAAUUUCGAGAAGAUGCAGGUGUUAAAUCUAAUAUAACCACAUUCAAUCCUUCGAUUAUAAUAUCUAGAUUUGGACGAUUGCUGAAAAGAAAUGACCAGAACUCGUUUAUAAAAUCAAUAAAUCAAUACAAAAACUAUAUUUGGUUUCCAAGUCUCUCGCACCCUUACCCCUUUUUUAUAUGUCUCAAGGCUAGUGAGCUAAUACAUCGCCAAUCUAGAAUAAAGGUGCUGAACGGAAAUCCGGAUCAUUUUAGACAGAUGAGCCGCUACUGGAAGAGUAAUAGCAAUGUUAAUAAAACGCUCUCGUCAGGUUUUUAUAUGAUACUAUCAGCACUUACAUUUUGCGAAGAGAUUCAUCUUUAUGGAUUUUGGCCAUUUUAUACAGACCUACACAACCGUUCACUCUCCUACCACUACUACGAAAACCUCAAACUUAAGAUACACGCACAUGAUUUUGAUAACGAAUUUAAAGAAUUACUCUGGCUACACAGUGAAGACUCCCGCUCAAGAUGGACCAACAUCAACAAGCUUAUUACCCGGCUGGUAAUCAACCAAACCAGUACCCAGGCAACGUCCAGCAUCCUAUAAGUGUUCAGCCGCAGGUGGUUACAGCGAGCAAUGUUCAUUUAGUCGAAAACAAGUACGUCAGACUUGAAGGAGACUCUGCGUGGUCAUCUGGCCUUUUUGACUGUUGCCAGGAUCCUUUGAGCUGUCUUGCAAUGUGUUGUUGCCCCAUCUGUUACCAGUGCUAUCUCUCCGACAAGCUUGGUGAAU